rnacentral:lncRNA from 1 species
UAAGGAACCAAAUUCCUUUUAUUAUUGAUGCCUCAUUUCCUCAUUAAUGCCACAAAGAUUUAUGUGAAGGGACUUUCAGAGUGCUAAUGGAAUUACCCACCUAAAUCUCCCCCGUGCCGAUGGCGGGAAACGCUCUGGUUCUUUGCCCUCACGUUAGUGCUGGAAGAAACCAGCCUGCCAAACUGCUCCAGGAAGCUCUUCUGAGAUAGAGACAUCCAUCUCUGUGUACGGUCUGUACUUGUGAAGCAGAGCACAAAGCCCUUUUUCCAUUUAAUCCAUAUUAAUUAUCUCUCUGCAGCUCCUCUCUAGUUUCCACUCAUCCCAGGCACCAGACACUUGUGUGGCUGCAUCUUGAACAAACUAGAGCCUUUCACUCCCCACCUGCCGUGGCAUUCCCACCUCAGCCUGAAGUGACGGCAGCCUCUCCUCAGCACGGCUGCCCCAUCCCAGCCUGGCAGGAGGGUUUUGCCUCCUGUUUGGGGUAU